GAUGAUUGAUUGCACAUGUGUGUUUUAGUUCAUUUUAUUAAUUUAGAUUUUUUUUUUUUGAUUUUGGUUGUGUUUUUAUUUGAGAAUCACAAUUUGUCCUUGAAUUUCAAUGUUUAAUAUUUUUUUUAUGUUGAACUAGUCGUCAUUCAACAGUUUUUAUGUGUUUAGAGUAUUUUUGGUUGCUCAACUAUGUGUUUUAAGCAUUCCGGUUGAUUAACAGUAUUAAUCAACUCCUUGUUUUCAUUAUUUUUGUUGGUGAAUGUGUAAAUUAACUAUAUUAAUGUGAAUGUAUUAAUGUGCUGAUUACAUGAUGUUGUUUUAUGCAGAUAUGGAAUCAUGUGAAGGUGUUAUUUCAAAUGAUGUUCCUAUUGAUGGUGUUGUUUCAUAUGAUGUUGUUAAAUGGAUGAUCUAUGCGAAGUCGUAUAGUAAAGAAGGUGGUCGUAUUUGGUUGAAAGAAAUGGGGGAAAACCAUACUUGUGGCAAUGUUUUUAAUCUUGGUCAUCACAAUAGAAUGAUUUGCCAUAUUUGAACAACAAUUAAAUUCAAGUUGUAUUUGAUGUUUUGUUUUUUUGAUUAAAACUUGUGGUGACAAUAUAAUUCAUUUUCAAUUUUAGUUUUUUUUAUUUCUUUCACUUGUGGUGACGAUAUAAUUCAGUUGUGACAAUAUAAUUCAGUUCAGUUUAUGAG
rnacentral:lncRNA from 1 species